rnacentral:tRNA from 1 species
GGCCUCGUAGCUCAGAUGGUUAGAGCGUUGGCUGUACUCAGGUUUUGCAUUUGAUGCAGCGGGUUUGAAUCCCGUUGAGGCCG